GGGUUGUGAGGUUAAGCGACUAAGCGUACACGGUGGAUGCCCUGGCAGUCAGAGGCGAUGAAGGACGUGCUAAUCUGCGAUAAGCGUCGGUAAGGUGAUAUGAACCGUUAUAACCGGCGAUUUCCGAAUGGGGAAACCCAGUGUGWUUCGWCACACUAUCAUUAACUGAAUCCAUAGGUUAAUGAGGCGAACCGGGGGAACUGAAACAUCUAAGUACCCCGAGGAAAAGAAAUCAACCGAGAUUCCCCCAGUAGCGGCGAGCGAACGGGGAGGAGCCCAGAGCCUGAAUCAGUGUGUGUGUUAGUGGAAGCGUCUGGAAAGGCGCGCGAUACAGGGUGACAGCCCCGUACACAAAAAUGCACAUAUUGUGAGCUCGAUGAGUAGGGCGGGACACGUGGUAUCCUGUCUGAAUAUGGGGGGACCAUCCUCCAAGGCUAAAUACUCCUGACUGACCGAUAGUGAACCAGUACCGUGAGGGAAAGGCGAAAAGAACCCCGGCGAGGGGAGUGAAAAAGAACCUGAAACCGUGUACGUACAAGCAGUGGGAGCACGCUUAGGCGUGUGACUGCGUACCUUUUGUAUAAUGGGUCAGCGACUUAUAUUCUGUAGCAAGGUUAACCGAAUAGGGGAGCCGAAGGGAAACCGAGUCUUAACUGGGCGUUAAGUUGCAGGGUAUAGACCCGAAACCCGGUGAUCUAGCCAUGGGCAGGUUGAAGGUUGGGUAACACUAACUGGAGGACCGAACCGACUAAUGUUGAAAAAUUAGCGGAUGACUUGUGGCUGGGGGUGAAAGGCCAAUCAAACCGGGAGAUAGCUGGUUCUCCCCGAAAGCUAUUUAGGUAGCGCCUCGUGAAUUCAUCUCCGGGGGUAGAGCACUGUUUCGGCAAGGGGGUCAUCCCGACUUACCAACCCGAUGCAAACUGCGAAUACCGGAGAAUGUUAUCACGGGAGACACACGGCGGGUGCUAACGUCCGUCGUGAAGAGGGAAACAACCCAGACCGCCAGCUAAGGUCCCAAAGUCAUGGUUAAGUGGGAAACGAUGUGGGAAGGCCCAGACAGCCAGGAUGUUGGCUUAGAAGCAGCCAUCAUUUAAAGAAAGCGUAAUAGCUCACUGGUCGAGUCGGCCUGCGCGGAAGAUGUAACGGGGCUAAACCAUGCACCGAAGCUGCGGCAGCGACGCUKAUGCGUUGUUGGGUAGGGGAGCGUUCUGUAAGCCUGUGAAGGUGUGCUGUGAGGCAUGCUGGAGGUAUCAGAAGUGCGAAUGCUGACAUAAGUAACGAUAAAGCGGGUGAAAAGCCCGCUCGCCGGAAGACCAAGGGUUCCUGUCCAACGUUAAUCGGGGCAGGGUGAGUCGACCCCUAAGGCGAGGCCGAAAGGCGUAGUCGAUGGGAAACAGGUUAAUAUUCCUGUACUUGGUGUUACUGCGAAGGGGGGACGGAGAAGGCUAUGUUGGCCGGGCGACGGUUGUCCCGGUUUAAGCGUGUAGGCUGGUUUUCCAGGCAAAUCCGGAAAAUCAAGGCUGAGGCGUGAUGACGAGGCACUACGGUGCUGAAGCAACAAAUGCCCUGCUUCCAGGAAAAGCCUCUAAGCAUCAGGUAACAUCAAAUCGUACCCCAAACCGACACAGGUGGUCAGGUAGAGAAUACCAAGGCGCUUGAGAGAACUCGGGUGAAGGAACUAGGCAAAAUGGUGCCGUAACUUCGGGAGAAGGCACGCUGAUAUGUAGGUGAAGCGACUUGCUCGUGGAGCUGAAAUCAGUCGAAGAUACCAGCUGGCUGCAACUGUUUAUUAAAAACACAGCACUGUGCAAACACGAAAGUGGACGUAUACGGUGUGACGCCUGCCCGGUGCCGGAAGGUUAAUUGAUGGGGUCAGCGCAAGCGAAGCUCUUGAUCGAAGCCCCGGUAAACGGCGGCCGUAACUAUAACGGUCCUAAGGUAGCGAAAUUCCUUGUCGGGUAAGUUCCGACCUGCACGAAUGGCGUAAUGAUGGCCAGGCUGUCUCCACCCGAGACUCAGUGAAAUUGAACUCGCUGUGAAGAUGCAGUGUACCCGCGGCAAGACGGAAAGACCCCGUGAACCUUUACUAUAGCUUGACACUGAACAUUGAGCCUUGAUGUGUAGGAUAGGUGGGAGGCUUAGAAGUGUGGACGCCAGUCUGCAUGGAGCCGACCUUGAAAUACCACCCUUUAAUGUUUGAUGUUCUAACGUUGACCCGUAAUCCGGGUUGCGGACAGUGUCUGGUGGGUAGUUUGACUGGGGCGGUCUCCUCCUAAAGAGUAACGGAGGAGCACGAAGGUUGGCUAAUCCUGGUCGGACAUCAGGAGGUUAGUGCAAUGGCAUAAGCCAGCUUGACUGCGAGCGUGACGGCGCGAGCAGGUGCGAAAGCAGGUCAUAGUGAUCCGGUGGUUCUGAAUGGAAGGGCCAUCGCUCAACGGAUAAAAGGUACUCCGGGGAUAACAGGCUGAUACCGCCCAAGAGUUCAUAUCGACGGCGGUGUUUGGCACCUCGAUGUCGGCUCAUCACAUCCUGGGGCUGAAGUAGGUCCCAAGGGUAUGGCUGUUCGCCAUUUAAAGUGGUACGCGAGCUGGGUUUAGAACGUCGUGAGACAGUUCGGUCCCUAUCUGCCGUGGGCGCUGGAGAACUGAGGGGGGCUGCUCCUAGUACGAGAGGACCGGAGUGGACGCAUCACUGGUGUUCGGGUUGUCAUGCCAAUGGCACUGCCCGGUAGCUAAAUGCGGAAGAGAUAAGUGCUGAAAGCAUCUAAGCACGAAACUUGCCCCGAGAUGAGUUCUCCCUGACCCUUUAAGGGUCCUGAAGGAACGUUGAAGACGACGACGUUGAUAGGCCGGGUGUGUAAGCGCAGCGAUGCGUUGAGCUAACCGGUACUAAUGAACCGUGAGGCUUAACCUUACAACGCCGAAGSUGUU
rnacentral:rRNA from 1 species